UUAAUUCAACACAUAUACUCUCUCCCACUUAUCGUAUCCUCUCUCUCAAUCACUAUUCAUCCUCGUCCUCCCCAAUUGCAAAAACUAGGGAAUCCCUUUCCCAUAUCGGAAUUUCCGUCGACCAGCCGCCACCGUCGCGCCGCUGCCGCCUCCGGCGGCUUCCCCUUCUCCCUUCUCUCUUUCUCUUCUCUCCCUUCCCUUUCUCUCUCUCGGCCCUACUCCACCGCCGCCGUGCACCACCGAUCUCCCUUCUCUCUCGCUCGGUCCGCCACUGCCACGGAGUCCGCCGUCACUCCUCUCUUUUCGGAUCUGUCGCCGCCACUGCUGUGCAUGCACAGGCAUCGGUUUCGCCGCCCUGCUCCCGCCCGGAGGUCGCCUUCACAGCAGCCCGGCCGUCCCGUCACCGGACAGCCGGAGAGCCCUCCGCCACUGCACCCUCUCGCCUCGCCGUUUUUCGUCAGGUAAGUGGUGGAUCGGAGUGUGGGGCUGUCCAACGGAGAGCCGAAGCUCGCUGCCGGAAGUCCGGCAGAUUCACACUUUUAAGAUACGCUUUCCAACUAAGUGUGUAUUAUGGUUGUAGGAUUUAGUGUAUCUUAUCUUACGAAUUUGGUAAUCUCGCUGUUUGGGAUACUUAAUGGUGAUCUAUAUUGUUAAACUUGUUGUGGCA